UGGGGAAUAUUGCGCAAUGGGGGAAACCUUGACGCAGCGACGCCGCGUGGAGGAAGAAGGUCUUCGGAUUGUAAACUCCUGUUAAGUGGGAAGAAAUGGCAAAAUCUAAUAAAUUUUGCAGCUGACGGUACCACUAGAGAAAGCACCGGCUAACCUCGUGCCAGCAGCCGCGGUAAUACGAGGGGUGCAAGCGUUAUUCGGAGUUACUGGGCGUAAAGAGCGCGUAGGCGGCUUGUUAAGUUGGUUGUUAAAGACCCCGGCUCAACCGGGGAAGUGCAGCCGAAACUGGCGAGCUAGAGGGCAAGAGAGAGAGGUGGAAUUCUUGGAGUAGCGGUAAAAUGCGUAGAUCUCAAGAGGAACAUCAGUUGCGAAGGCGGCUUCUUGGCUUGUUUCUGACGCUGAGGCGCGAAAGCGUGGGGAGCAAACA
rnacentral:rRNA from 1 species